rnacentral:rRNA from 1 species
GACGAACGCUGGCGGCGUGCUUAACACAUGCAAGUCGAACGGAAGGGCCCUGCUUUUGUGGGGUGCUCGAGUGGCGAACGGGUGAGUAACACGUGUGUAACCUGCCCUUGACUUUGGGAUAACUUCAGGAAACUGGGGCUAAUACCGGAUAGGAGCUCCUGCUGCAUGGUGGGGGUUGGAAAGUUUCGGCGGUUGGGGAUGGACUCGCGGCUUAUCAGCUUGUUGGUGGGGUAGUGGCUUACCAAGGCUUUGACGGGUAGCCGGCCUGAGAGGGUGACCGGCCACAUUGGGACUGAGAUACGGCCCAGACUCCUACGGGAGGCAGCAGUGGGGAAUAUUGCACAAUGGGCGGAAGCCUGAUGCAGCAACGCCGCGUGCGGGAUGACGGCCUUCGGGUUGUAAACCGCUUUCGCCUGUGACGAAGCGUGAGUGACGGUAAUGGGUAAAGAAGCACCGGCUAACUACGUG